rnacentral:lncRNA from 1 species
GUUGUCUGUAACCUGUAACUAGCCUAGGGAGGGACAUGUUGUCUGUAAACUGUAACUAGCCUGGGGAGAGACAUGUUGUCUGUAACCUGUAACUAGCCUAGGGAGAGACAUGUUGUCUGUAAACUGUAACUAGCCUGGGGAGAGACAUGUUGUCUGUAACCUGUAUCUAGCCUAGGGAGAGACAUGUUGUCUGUAACCUGUAACUAGCCUGGGGAGAGACAUGUUGUCUGUAACCUGUAACUAGCCUGGGGAGAGACAUGUUGUCUGUAACCUGUAACUAGCCUAGGGAGAGACAUGUUGUCUGUAACCUGUAUCUAGCCUAGGGAGAGACAUGUUGUCUGUAACCUGUAACUAGCCUGGGGAGGGACAUGUUGUCUGUAACCUGUAACUAGCCUAGGGAGAGACAUGUUGUCUGUAACCUGUAACUAGCCUAGGGAGAGACAUGUUGUCUGUAACCUGUAACUAGCCUAGGGAGAGACAUGUUGUCUGUAACCUGUAACUAGCCUAGGGAGAGACAUGUUGUCUGUAACCUGUAACUAGCCUGGGGAGAGACAUGUUGUCUGUAACCUGUAACUAGCCUAGGGAGAGACAUGUUGUCUGUAACCUGUAACUAGCCUGGGGAGAGACAUGUUGUCUGUAACCUGUAACUAGCCUGGGGAGAGACAUGUUGUCUGUAACCUGUAACUAGCCUGGGGAGAGACAUGUUGUCUGUAACCUGUAACUAGCCUAGGGAGAGACCUGGCUGGCUUGCUUUAUUUAAAUGAAUGUAAUACACAUUGUUAUAUCCUUCUGGUUAAAUCCCAAAUGGCACCCUAUUCCCUACAUAGUGCACUACUUUUGACCAGGUCCCAUAGUGCUCUGUUCAAAAGUAGUGCACUUUAUAGGGAAUAGGGUGCCAUUUGGGCCAAAUAUAGGAUAAUUUGACUGUAGCCUUCUGCGUUGAGCAGAGACAACUUUUUCCUUGUUGGCACUUUAUCUGUUGGUUAGUAGGUGUUAUUAUAUUAUUGAACCUCUGGAGCCAUACGCUAUUGGGUUAGUCAGGCUGAUCAGCAAGUCUCAAUAAGGUGUUGGGAUCAACAAGUCUCAAUAAGGUGUUGGGAUCAACAAGUCUCAAUAAGGUGUUGGGUUAGUCAGACUGAUCAGCAAGUCUCAAUAAGGUGUUGGGUUAGUCAGGCUGAUCAACAAGUCUCAAUAAGGUGUUGGGUUAGUCAGACUGAUCAGCAAGUCUCAAUAAGGUGUUGGGUUAGUCAGGCUGAUCAACAAGUCUCAAUAAGGUGUUGGGUUAGUCAGACUGAUCAGCAAGUCUCAAUAAGGUGUUGGGUUAGUCAGGCUGAUCAACAAGUCUCAAUAAGGUGUUGGGUUAGUCAGGCUGAUCAGAAAGUCUCAAGCCUCAAACACCUUAGUAAUAUAUUCUGUCCAUGGACUCAUGUUACUCAUUUUCACUGGGGGGUGCGUCCCAAAUGUCAACUCAUUCUACAUUUGACCAGGGCCCAUAUGGGGGAAUAGGAAGUCAUUAAUGACCAGGGCCCAUAUGGGGGAAUAGGAAGUCAUUAAUGACCAGGGCCCAUAUGGGGGAAUAGGAAGUCAUUAAUGACCAGGGCCCAUAUGGGGGAAUAGUGUGUUCUCAGAAGGUGAAGCCAGUAGUGGCCUACUGGGCCGAGGCUUUGAUGUUGCUUUCCUGUGGCGUUACUUCUUUAUUUUAUCCUUGGUGGGGUUUAUUUUAUGUAAAUCAAGGAGACGUGCUUUUGAUUUGUCUGUUGAGUGUAAGGGGUUGUCCCAAAUGUCACCCUAUUCCCUAUGUAGUGCAUUACUAUGGGCCCUAUUCCCUAUGUAGUGCGCUACUAUGGGCCCUAUUCCCUAUGUAGUGCGCUACUAUGGGCCCUAUUCCCUAUGUAGUGCGCUACUAUGGGCCCUAUUCCCUAUGUAGUGCGCUACUAUGGGCCCUAUUCCCAAUGUAGUGCGCUACUAUGGGCCCUAUUCCCUAUGUAGUGCGCUACUAUGGGCCCUAUUCCCUAUGUAGUGCGCCACUAUGGGCCCUAUUCCCUAUGUAGUGCGCCACUAUGGGCCCUAUUCCCUAUGUAGUGCGCUACUGUGGGCCCUAUUCCCUAUGUAGUGCUCUACUAUGGGCCCUAUUCCCUAUGUAGUGCUCUACUAUGGGCCCUAUUCCCUAUGUAGUGCUCUACUAUGGGCCCUAUUCCCUAUGUAGUGCACUAUAAAUGGAAUAAGGUGCCAUUAGGGAGACAAGCCAUCUCAGAACAUACGCUGUUAAACCAUUGAGUACAUAACUGUGCUGUUACAUAUUUAUAUAAUUUGUAAGUAUGCAUAUUGUAAUUAUUUUAUAUUUGUAUACAUGCACUAGUUUAUAAGUGUGCAUUAUUUUUUCGGGACAUGAAUCAAACUGACGUGUAAAAAAGUUGAAAAAAAUAAAGUACUUUUUUUGUUAACCUGUCUCUGUCUGUUUGUCUGGUCUGUUUGUCUGGUCUGUUUGUCUGGUCUGUUUGUCUGGUCUGUUUGUCUGGUCUGUUUGUCUGGUUUGGUCUGUCUGGUCUGUCUGUCUGGUCUGGUCUGUUUGUCUGGUUUGGUCUGUUUGUCUGGUUUGGUCUGUCUGGUCUGUCUGUCUGGUCUGUCUGUGUCUGGUUUGGUCUGUUUGUCUGGUCUGUCUGUCGAUCUUUGGCCAGGAUUCAAUCCAAGGCACGUUACAGGUCGACACUCUAAACAGCCGACAACGCUCCUCUAAAGGCAAUGUCCCCAGCGUUCACGGAGAUCACAUUCAUG